ACAAGUACCGUGAGGGAAAGUUGCAAAGCACUUUGAAGAGAGAGUUAAAGAGGACGUGAAACCGAUGAGGUGGAAACGGAUAGAGCCAGCGUAUCUGGCCUGUAUUCAACCGUAUCGCUGUUGGCGGCUGGAUGCUGCAUCUCCAGAUUGGGACAGUGUUUGGCAUUGCUGGCGGCAAUGCGGUGCAUUUGCAGGUCGAGUGCGCCGAGAUAUUCGAGACGGCAGCAUGAGCCCAGUUUUGAGGCCAGCUUUGCUGGUACCCGGGCUGGAGGAAUGUCGUUCGUUUUGGAUGUAAAUUGAUGGGGGAAAGGCUUACGGGCUUGUAUGGGCGCCGAGCUGAUUGUCGGUGGCAGUUGCAUGCAACAUGUAUCGAUUGUCAGUUCGGUCCUGUGCAAGCUCACAAUCCCACACUCGGUGUAAAAGUUGGUCAUCUAUCCGACCCGUCUUGAAACACGGACCAAGGAGUUUAUCGUGUGCGCAAGUCAUUGGGUGAAAACUCAAAGGCGCAAUGAAGGUGAAGUGUCCGCAAGGGCACGACGUGUGAUCUUGGUAAUUUCGAUUGCCAGGAGCAACAUGGCCCCAUUCUGGCUGCUUGCAGCGGGGUGGAGGAAGAGCGUACGCGGUGAGACCCGAAAGAUGGUGAACUAUUCCUGAGCAGGAUGAAGCCAGAGGAAACUCUGGUGGAAGUCCGAAGCGAUUCUGACGUGCAAAUCGAUCGUCUGACUUGGGUAUAGGGGCGAAAGACUAAUCGAACCAUCUAGUAGCUGGUUCCUUCCGA
rnacentral:rRNA from 1 species